GAGUUGUGAAGAGGGGUAUGAAAAAUGUUUGAUAUAAUUUGCUAUUCUCUCUCCCCUAUGAUUCUCAGCAAGAAAAAAAUACAUUACAAAUAAAGAUUCCCUAGUAGCUAGUAAAGAUUAUUCAAAUUGAAGCCCUAAUUUGAUACAAUUUAGGUGAAACAGAAGACUCAGACAGUAACAUGACUGCUUAAAGAUUAUUAUCAAUCUAUGAAUGUAAAACCCUAAUAACAAUAGCUAUAACAUGACUACAGUCUUUAUAGUCACAGAAAUAUCCCAAUUCCCACCCCAUGCCUUGAGAUAUUGAGAAAGAAUGUUUUUAUAUUCAUAACAAUUAAUAAUAUUUAGAAUCAUCAAUUUAUAGUACAACAAUACUCCACUAAGCCACUACUACAUUGUACACUAAAUCAAAAAUUAGCUUUCAGGGUCAACUGAAAAGUCCCAUUGUAUGUUGGGUGAUGGUUUAGACUGGUCAUUAACAACUUACUACCUAUCCUUUGAAGCAGGGGAAGUUUUUGAUCCGUACUUGGAGAAAACAUCAAUUAAUACAGCCUUUUC
rnacentral:lncRNA from 1 species